rnacentral:lncRNA from 1 species
UAUUGAUAGCCAAUGCCUUCGGCAUCCCCCAUCGCCCUCAGAGAGUCAAGACCAAUUUGCAUUCACAUGGGAAGAAAAACAAUGGACUGUCUUGCCCAGGGAUACCACCCUGGAGGGGAUACAUGUUUUCCAUUAACUUUUAGGUCUUUUUCUGGCUUAUAAUCUGCACAGCCCCCACCUUACCCUCUCACUUGGCGAACAAAGGAUUGGCAGUCAACGCAUACAAAGACCAGAGGCCAGGUUUGUCAGUCUGGUUGUCAUCUGGUUGGGUAAGACGAAGGUCUUUCAGUCUGCUCUUAUGGAUAAGGUGUAGGCCUACCCAUGUCCUACCACACCAAAGCACUUGCAAACUUCCUUAGGCCUCCUACAGUGUUGGUAUCCUUUUAUUCCUCAUUUGGCCCAACUCCUUAGGUCCCUAUACUGCUAGUCAAGAUGGGGGCCCACUGGGACUGGUCCACAAAGGAGGAUGAGGCCUUUGAACAAGCUAAAGUUGCAGUGAAACAAAUACAAGCCUAGGACUUGUAGUGCAGGGGCAGCCUUGUGAACUGAACGUAGCCAGUUACCCUGAGGGGUUUGGGUGGGGCCUGUGGUGAAGGCAAGGGCAUAAAUGUGUGCCUUUAGGAUUCUGGUCCCAGCUGUGGAAGGGGGCUUCAGCUAGCUGGAGUGCCACAACUCUGGGCUAUGUAUGCUUUACAAUAAGUGGAGGACAUUACAAAGUGGGUCCUAGUGCUAGUACGCACCCAGUACCAAUAGCAGGUUGACUAAAGGGUACCUUCCGGAAGCUAAAGCCUGGGAAUGCCCAAACACAGACUGUAGCCAAAAGGCAUGCAUACCUCAACAAAGGAGCACAUUCAUUAAUAGCCCCUUGAGCACAGAGCUCCAUUUGGUGCUCAGUACUGUCACCUAUGUAACAUCUGAAAGACAGUCUUUGAAAGAGGCCGCUGAACCUCCACAGAUUUCCUCCUUUGUACAGGAGGGACAGGGCCCAAUUCUUGACCAGAUCUGGUACACAGAGAGCUUGCUAUGAGGCAAUCCUUGCACAUGGACAGCUGCAGCCAUCCAGCUGUCCACUGACAGGAUCUGGCUUGAUACAGGCCUAGGACUUAGUAACAAAUGGGCUAAGCUGAGAGCCACCUAGACGAUCCUCCUCUAUGAGCCGGACCCAAUAGUCUUGUGUACCAACAGCUGGGCCAUCUUUAAGGGACUUGCUAUGUGGCUACCACAAGGAGAAGCUCAGGAUUGGACAGUAGCAGGCUGCCUGCUUUGGGGUGCUGGCAUGUGGAAGGACAUUCUCUGUCACAUCCAGGGAAUGCAUGUAACAGUCUUCCAUGUGGAUGCCCACACUGCAUCUACGCCAUCUGGAAAUCAACAUGAGAACAAGCUAGCCUGCAUUCAUCUCUUCAAGGUAGUCCCCACAGACGUGGCCCACUGGCUGCCCAAAAAGACAGGACUUUGGGGACAGCAUUCCCUUUGGGCCACAGUGAAGAAUUAGGGCCUGCCACUAUGACAUAAAGACAUAGUACACCUCUGUCAGCAAUGUCCUACCCAUGCACAGGAAUGCCCUAGGCCCUUGCCACACAAUACUGGAGAGAUCCCCUGGGGCCAGAGUCCAGUACAAUGGUGGCAGGUAGACUACAUAGGGCAUUUGUUUCUAUCUAAUGGCUGCUACUAUACCUUGACUUAUGUGGACACCUGCACAGGGCUACCACAGUCAUAUCCCAGCAAGCAUGCUACCCAGAAAACUAUCAUAAAAGGACUAGAGUGGCUGUGUGUGGCCUAUGGUGUCCCCACCAAUAUCAAUAGUGACCAGGGCUUGCACUUUACCAGACAUAAAGUGUAGGAAUGGGUGGAGGCCCUGGAUAUCCACUGACAUUUCCACCUGCUGUACAUCCCUGCAGCCGUGGGGCUGAUUUAAAGGAUGAAUGGACUGUUGAAGCAACAACUCCAGCAGGAGACGCACUCUGGCUCUGUGGACACACCAUUUACCAGCAGUUGUCUGCACCCUGAAUGAACAUGGCGUUCUCAUCACCAGUGCCUAUGUCCUUCCGAUGCAAGAACGUGAUACCACUCUCAGGAUCCAGGUGGACAAGAUGGUGUGCAGCAGACCCUCUUUACCAACUGGGCACAGAUGGUGGCCUCUCUCCAGAACAAAACAGACUGUUGGGCCUGUGAAGAGCUGCCCCUCUCCUCCAUCAUAAGCCUGCUGUGGUGAAUCCAAAAUUAACUCCCAAGUUGGAUUAUUUUUUGUUUUAGUUUGCAUUGCUGCUGCAGCAGUCUGGCAGCGAUGCUUCUCCACAUUACCUGGCCCCAGGGAAAUCAUGGAAGAAUAGCGUGAUAAAAAUGUGAGAGCUGUUCCAGGGUAGCUGGGGUGGACUGUAUGGUAGAAGCACCUGAUAGCAGUACCUUAACUUAGCCAUAACCUGAGAAUGGCCCUGUAUGGCAGAGGCACCUGAAUGUGUGUUCAGAGUUCCAAGCUGAGGAAUCCAGGAGUGGCCAACCCAGGCAUUCAUUCCUUAUCUAUGAGGAACAUCUGAGCCCCUGGCCUGUCUAGUGAAACACAGGCCAUACAGGGGAUUGAGGCCCUUUGUUUUGGGUUAAGUGAAGGUUGCCAGGUGAAGAUGGUUAGGGGGAGGGUGCUUAGUGAAAAUGCUAUAUAAACUACAUGCUUUUUGCAAGUGGUUACAGUUCUCCUGCCCAGCCUGCUGCCUCUGGGCCGUAUGGUUCUCCAGCCCAGCACCCCCUCACUGGGCUGUGUGGUUCUCCUGUCCAGCCUGCCGCCACUGGCCCUCCCUCUUUGUAGGUUUCCUGCUAAUAAAGCCCUAUGUCCUG